GUUUAAUUAGUUUAAGUAAAACGUAAAUUUUGUAAAUUUAAUAUCUAUAUAUUAUAAA
rnacentral:tRNA from 1 species